GCUUAGGAAUCUGCCAUUUAGUGGGGGACAACAUUCCGAAAGGAAUGCUAAUACCGCAUACGUCCUACGGGAGAAAGCAGGGGAUCUUCGGACCUUGCGCUAAAUGAUGAGCCUAAGUCGGAUUAGCUAGUUGGUGGGGUAAAGGCCUACCAAGGCGACGAUCUGUAGCGGGUCUGAGAGGAUGAUCCGCCACACUGGGACUGAGACACGGCCCAGACUCCUACGGGAGGCAGCAGUGGGGAAUAUUGGACAAUGGGCGGAAGCCUGAUCCAGCCAUGCCGCGUGUGUGAAGAAGGCCUUUUGGUUGUAAAGCACUUUAAGCGAGGAGGAGGCUACUAGUAUUAAUACUACUGGAUAGUGGACGUUACUCGCAGAAUAAGCACCGGCUAACUCUGUGCCAGCAGCCGCGGUAAUACAGAGGGUGCGAGCGUUAAUCGGAUUUACUGGGCGUAAAGCGUGCGUAGGCGGCUUUUUAAGUCGGAUGUGAAAUCCCCGAGCUUAACUUGGGAAUUGCAUUCGAUACUGGGAAGCUAGAGUAUGGGAGAGGAUGGUAGAAUUCCAGGUGUAGCGGUGAAAUGCGUAGAGAUCUGGAGGAAUACCGAUGGCGAAGGCAGCCAUCUGGCCUAAUACUGACGCUGAGGUACGAAAGCAUGGGGAGCAAACAGGAUUAGAUACCCUGGUAGUCCAUGCCGUAAACGAUGUCUACUAGCCGUUGGGGCCUUUGAGGCUUUAGUGGCGCAGCUAACGCGAUAAGUAGACCGCCUGGGGAGUACGGUCGCAAGACUAAAACUCAAAUGAAUUGACGGGGGCCCGCACAAGCGGUGGAGCAUGUGGUUUAAUUCGAUGCAACGCGAAGAACCUUACCUGGUCUUGACAUAGUAAGAACU
rnacentral:rRNA from 1 species